AGAGUUUGAUCCUGGCUCAGAACGAACGCUGGCGGCAGGCCUAACACAUCAAGUCGAGCGCACUCUUCGGAGUGAGCGGCGGACGGGUUAGUAACGCGUGGGAACAAACCCUUUUCUACGGAAUAGCCUCGGGAAACUGAGAGUAAUACCGUAUACGCCCUUCGGGGGAAAGAUUUAUCGGAGAAGGAUUGGCCCGCGUUUGAUUAGAUAGUUGGUGGGGUAAUGGCCUACCAAGUCUACGAUCAAUAGCUGGUUUGAGAGGAUGAUCAGCAACACUGGGACUGAGACACGGCCCAGACUCCUACGGGAGGCAGCAGUGGGGAAUCUUAGACAAUGGGCGCAAGCCUGAUCUAGCCAUGCCGCGUGAGUGACGAAGGCCUUAGGGUCGUAAAGCUCUUUCGCCAGAGAUGAUAAUGACAGUAUCUGGUAAAGAAACCCCGGCUAACUCCGUGCCAGCAGCCGCGGUAAUACGGAGGGGGUUAGCGUUGUUCGGAAUUACUGGGCGUAAAGCGUACGUAGGCGGAUUAGAAAGUAGGGGGUGAAAUCCCAGGGCUCAACCCUGGAACUGCCUCCUAAACUACUAGUCUAGAGUUCGAGAGGUGAGUGGAAUUCCAAGUGUAGAGGUGAAAUUCGUAGAUAUUUGGAGGAACACCAGUGGCGAAGGCGGCUCACUGGCUCGAUACUGACGCUGAGGUACGAAAGUGUGGGGAGCAAACAGGAUUAGAUACCCUGGUAGUCCACACCGUAAACGAUGAAUGCCAGACGUCGGGGGGCUUGCCCUUCGGUGUCACACCUAACGGAUUAAGCAUUCCGCCUGGGGAGUACGGUCGCAAGAUUAAAACUCAAAGGAAUUGACGGGGGCCCGCACAAGCGGCGGAGCAUGUGGUUUAAUUCGAAGCAACGCGCAGAACCUUACCAACCCUUGACAUCCUCGGACCGCCAGAGAGAUCUGGUUUCCACUUCGGUGGCCGAGUGACAGGUGCUGCAUGGCUGUCGUCAGCUCGUGUCGUGAGAUGUUCGGUUAAGUCCGGCAACGAGCGCAACCCACAUCCUUAGUUGCCAGCAGUUCGGCUGGGCACUCUAGGGAAACUGCCCGUGAUAAGCGGGAGGAAGGUGUGGAUGACGUCAAGUCCUCAUGGCCCUUACGGGUUGGGCUACACACGUGCUACAAUGGCAUCUACAGUGAGUUAAUCUCCAGAAGAUGUCUCAGUUCGGAUUGGGGUCUGCAACUCGACCCCAUGAAGUCGGAAUCGCUAGUAAUCGCGUAACAGCAUGACGCGGUGAAUACGUUCCCGGGCCUUGUACACACCGCCCGUCACACCAUGGGAGUUGGUUCUACCCGACGACGCUGCGCUAACCCUUCGGGGAGGCAGGCGGCCACGGUAGGAUCAGCGACUGGGGUGAAGUCGUAACAAGGUA
rnacentral:rRNA from 1 species